AUCAUUGACUCAAAGUUUGCUGAGGAACAAGUCCAGGCAAGUCCUGGGCAAAGGUAGAGAAAUCUUUUGUCUUGAGGACACUGAUGGACAGGUCCUGGCUAAGGGUUGUGAAAUCCUUUAAGGAGCACAGAUGGACAAGGCCAGGGGCAAUGAGAGAGGCAUAAGCUGCUGAUAAUGGCUGGGAAAUGGUCUUUUGUGUGGACUUAUCUUGAGGAAGAUGGCCAUCUCAGGAGGUACGCACAUGACUCUUGCUCAAGCACUCAGGGAUGUCACGUAGGCAGGAGAAAAUGGAGGAUAAAAGAGGGUCCAACAACCACGAGGAUGGGUUUCUGCCAUCAGAUCCCUCACCACGACAGACUCAAGGUUUCUG
ensembl:lncRNA